CCUACGGGUAGCUGCAGUGAGGAAUAUUGGUCAAUGGACGAGAGUCUGAACCAGCCAAGUAGCGUGAAGGAUGACUGCCCUAUGGGUUGUAAACUUCUUUUAUAUGGGAAUAAAAUGUUCCACGUGUGGGAUUUUGUAUGUACCAUCUGACUAAGGAUCGGCUAACUCCGUGCCAGCAGCCGCUGUAAUACGGAGGAUCUGAGCGUUAUCCGGAUUUAUUGGGUUUAAAGGGAGCGUAGGUGGAUUGUUAAGUCAGUUGUGAAAGUUUGCGGCUCAACCGUAAAAUUGCAGUUGAAACUGGCAGUCUUGAGUACAGUAGAGGUGGGCGGAAUUCGUGGUGGAGCGGUGAAAUGCUUAGAUAUCACGAAGAACUCCGAUUGCGAAGGCAGUUCACUGGACUGCAACUGACACUGAGGCUCGAAAGUGUGGGUAUCAAACAGGAUUAGACACCCCUGUAGUC
rnacentral:rRNA from 1 species